GGAGAAUAAAGCCUAAGGUUCACCCCACUUCUGACCCUGUUGAAGACUCUACCAAGGGUGUGGUGGAGGACCUUGGCAAGAAAGCACUGUGGCCCAACACAUCCAGGGUGGCCCCAGCACCAUGGGGAAGUGGUACAUAUUCUGGAAUCAGUCCCU